UAAAAAAAAUUUAUAAAUGUUUGGGGGCCAAGUCUCCACUUGCACCGCCCGCUCCGCAUCUGCCUAUACAUAAAAAAUUAUAGGGUCUCAUGGCAGCAACCGCAAAAUUUACCACCAUGGAGUCUCUCAUGUACCANNNNNCAUUUCUACUGCCAACCUUCCGGGAUAACAAAACUGAAUCCUCUUAAUUUUCUUGGUUUCGUGCGCCCAGACAGAAUUUCUCAUGGACACAAUUUAAGUUAACUCUAUCUCAUUUAACUGGCAGGGACACUCGACAGAAGCAUCUNNNNNNNAGACAAUACCAACACUAGGAACUACCUUGUAGUAUUCAGGCAGAAUCCCUCUAUACAAGCCCUUCAACCCUUCGUUCCGGAUUAUAUAUCCAAAUGUCCCAAACAAGCCAGUUGUGUAAACACGUUUACGACCACCAGCCCCUUCCAACUGCAUUCUUCUCCUCACAAGGUCCAAAGGAAAUGUUGCUGUUGAAGAUGCAAUGCCUGAAAGACUACCACAAGCAAGACUAACCACAACAGUAGAAUCAUUGGGCCUUUGAG
rnacentral:misc_RNA from 1 species